UACGGAGGGUGCAAGCGUUGUUCGGAAUUAUUGGGCGUAAAGGGCGUGUAGGCGGUUUUGUAAGUCUGAUGUGAAAGCCCCGGGCUCAACCUGGGAAGUGCAUUGGAAACUGCGAGACUUGAGUACGGGAGAGGGCAGUGGAAUUCCUGGUGUAGGAGUGAAAUCCGUAGAUAUCAGGAGGAACACCGGUGGCGAAGGCGGCUGCCUGGACCGAUACUGACGCUGAGACGCGAAAGCGUGGGGAGCAAACAGG
rnacentral:rRNA from 1 species